GACGAACGCUGGCGGCGUGCUUAACACAUGCAAGUCGUACGGUAAGGCCCUUUCGGGGGUCCACGAGUGGCGAACGGGUGAGUAACACGUGAGUAACCUGCCCACAACUUUGGGAUAACGCUAGGAAACUGGUGCUAAUACUGGAUAUGUGCCCCUGCUGCAUGGUGGGGGUUGGAAAGCUCCGGCGGUUGUGGAUGGACUCGCGGCCUAUCAGCUUGUUGGUGGGGUAGUGGCCUACCAAGGCGGCGACGGGUAGCCGGCCUGAGAGGGUGACCGGCCACAUUGGGACUGAGAUACGGCCCAGACUCCUACGGGAGGCAGCAGUGGGGAAUAUUGCACAAUGGGCGCAAGCCUGAUGCAGCAACGCCGCGUGCGGGAGGACGGCCUUCGGGUUGUAAACCGCUUUCAGCAGGGACGAAGCUUUUUGUGACGGUACCUGCAGAAGAAGCACCGGCUAACUACGUG
rnacentral:rRNA from 1 species